UUACUUGCUUUGGUGGUACUUAUACUAAAAAUGUAAUGAUACAGAGAUGAUUAGCAUGGCCCCUGUGCAAAAAUGACAAGCAAAUUUGAGAAAGCAUUCCCUAUUAA